CUUUGCAAACUAACCAAAUAGUAUCUUAUUUUAUAGUGUGCAGUUGAACCAAGUGGAGAUAGGUUUGAAGUGCAUCACACCAAGAAUUCACAUUAAAUUUACUUCACAACGAGAUAGGAAUCCUUGGGAGAUGCAAUCAAAAUAAGUAGAUAAGGAUUGCUAUUUUCCGAUUGUCUACCCCGGAAUGUAUGUGUCAACAUGCCUUGCAUUGAAGACUUUGUAGUUUUUUAUUGGCCAUGUUCUGAUACUAAAUGGUUUAGUUAAUUGAACUUCAUACAGAGAGGUAUGGCACUCAGAUUUUGGUUUUGAACUCUUCUGUGGCAAUGUUGAUUCCUCAACAAGGAAUUAUAAAUCAUGUCCUUAACUAAUGAGAGCAGUUUAUUGCUAAUAUAUUUCAGGGGUGGAGAAGCAUUUGAAUUUUAGAUAAUUGCUUACAGAAUCAAUUUAUGCUUUAUCAGUUUAAAGCUUGAAAAUUUGAAAGGCAAAUUCUUUAGUUGUAAAAAUUUAUUGUAUCUGUGGAAAUUUGACUCCUCCCUCGUACCAGAUGAGGAAGUUCUCAAUUCCACGUUCUUUUUCGCUUGCAGGGUUUGCUAGUACCUUCGGCUGUUUCUCUAGCCGUUCCACUGGCUCUUAUGUCCCUCACUAGAUGAGGUCUUAGGUGCUUAUCUUCUCUCAUGCGGUGAAGUUGGAAAGGAACAGGAAUCCCAUAAUGUUUUGGCAUCUGAACGGAUGGCUCCUCGUGGACAUCUUGUCUUUUCUGUGGCCAUUGGUGCUUUGAUUUUUGUUCCAGUGUUCAAGGCCCUAACUGGAUUGCCUCCAUAUAUGGGCAUGCUUCUUGGGCUUGGAGUUCUUUGGAUUGUUACAGAUGCUAUUCCUCUUGGUGAAUCAGAAAGGCAAAGGUUAAAACUUAGAAGUACCACAGGCUUUAUAUGGGAUUGACACUCAAGGAGCCCUUUUUUUCCUUGGAAUCCUUUUGUCAGUUAGCAGGAAAUGAAGUUGUUGGUCUUUAAUUCUCUUUAGCAAAUUCAAAUUAUUUGUCUCUUUCCUAGCCUGGAGGCAGCGAGGCUUCUUCGUAAUUGGCAAAUUACCUUGAUGCCAUAUUCCACAUGUCGAACUCAUUGCAAGUGCAGUAGGGGUUGGAUCAGCGAUUAUAGACAAUGUUCCACUAGUUGCAGCAACAAUGGGAAUAUAUGAUCUCACAUCUUUUCCCCAGGAUUCUGAGUUUUGGCAGUUAGUCGCGUACUGUGCUGGUGCUGGUGGUUCCAUGCUAGUUAUUGCCUAUUGGGUCUGCUGCUGGGGUAGCAUUUAUGGGGAUGGAGAAGGUGGACUUCUUCUGGUACUUCCGGAAGGUAUAUUCUGCCAUAAAUGAUAUUUCAUCAACAUGCCAUCUUUAAGUAAAAGAAGUUGUUCUCUUUCCAGGAGAGUGGUUUUGCUUUUAUUGGCUAAGCUGCUGGUAUUGCUGCUUACUUAGCAAUUCAUAACCUCAACAUUUCCCUACCCACAACACUAGCCGAGGUUCCAUUCCUUUCGGGUUCAUAAAUUAUGGUGCUGAGGAUUCGAUGUUUUACCGCGUCCAAGCAAGGAUGCAGCCAUCCACACAAGACUAAUCUAGCAACAAAUGAGAGUGGCAGAAAUGCUGGGUGAUGUAGAAAUAGCGCUGACAAAUAUAUAAAAUUGAAUUGAACAUUGAUUAGAUAACAU